UGGGGAAUAUUGCACAAUGGGCGCAAGACUGAUGCAGCCAUGCCGCGUGUGUGAAGAAGGCCUUCGGGUUGUAAAGCACUUUCAGCGGGGAGGAAGGCGGUGAGGUUAAUAACCUCAUCGAUUGACGUUACCCGCAGAAGAAGCACCGGCUAACUCCGUGCCAGCAGCCGCGGUAAUACGGAGGGUGCAAGCGUUAAUCGGAAUUACUGGGCGUAAAGCGCACGCAGGCGGUCUGUCAAGUCGGAUGUGAAAUCCCCGGGCUCAACCUGGGAACUGCAUUCGAAACUGGCAGGCUAGAGUCUUGUAGAGGGGGGUAGAAUUCCAGGUGUAGCGGUGAAAUGCGUAGAGAUCUGGAGGAAUACCGGUGGCGAAGGCGGCCCCCUGGACAAAGACUGACGCUCAGGUGCGAAAGCGUGGGGAGCAAACAGG
rnacentral:rRNA from 1 species